CACGUAGGGUGCGAGCGUUGUCCGGAAUUAUUGGGCGUAAAGGGCGCGUAGGCGGCGCGACAAGUCACUUGUGAAAUCUCUGGGCUCAACCCAGAACGGUCAAGUGAUACUGUCGUGCUAGAGUGCGGAAGGGGCAACUGGAAUUCUUGGUGUAGCGGUGAAAUGCGUAGAUAUCAAGAGGAACACCUGCGGCGAAGGCGGCUUCCUGGACCGACACUGACGCUGAGGCGCGAAAGCUAGGGGAGCAAACGGG
rnacentral:rRNA from 1 species